UUGAGAGCUGAGGACAUGGCCGUGUAUUUCUGUGCAAGAGCGCCCCAGUGGAUUGACUUUGACUACUGGGGCCAAGGCACCCUGGUCACCGUCUCCUCAGAGAGUGUGUCUUCCCCAAACCUCUUCCCCCUCGUCUCCUGUGAGAACCCCCUGUCCGAUGACAGCCGACUGAUCGUGGGCUGCCUGGCCAAGGACUUCCUGCCUGACUCUGUCACCUUCUCCUGGAGCUAUAAGAACAACAGUGGCAUCAGCAGCCCGGCUAUCCAGAGCUUCCCGUCGGUCCUGAGAGAGGGCAAGUACGCCGCCAGCUCCCAGGUGUUCCUGCCCUCUAUUGACAUCAACCAGGGUACAGAUGAGUUUGUGAUGUGCAAUGUCAAACACUCCAACGGUGACAAAAAUGUGCAAGUGCCCAUCUCAGGUGGUGGGGACCCACUGAAACCCAAUGUGAACAUCUUCAUCCCACCCCGUGAUGGCUUCUCCGGCACCAACCCCCGCAAGUCCAGACUCAUCUGCCAGGCUACGGGCUUCCGCCCCAAGAAGAUCUCUGUGUCCUGGCUGCGGGACGGAAAGCCUCUGGACUCCAACUUCACCACAGACAAGGUGCAGGCUGAGCCCAAAGGGCCUGGACCUGUGACCUACAGUGUCAGCAGCACGCUGACCAUCACCGAGAGUGACUGGCUCAGCCAGAGCUUGUUCACCUGCGAAGUGGAACACAAUAAUGAGAGCCUCCAGAAGAACGUGUCAUCUGUGUGUAGCGCUGGUGCAUCCUCCAUCAAAAUCUUCACCAUCCCCCCGUCCUUUGCCAGCACCUUCCUCACCAAGAAUGCCAAGCUGUCCUGCGUGGUCACAGACCUGACCACCUAUGACAGCCUGACCAUCUCCUGGACCCGUCAGAGUGGCAAGGAUCUGAAAACCCACACCAACAUCUCUGAGAUCUUCCCCAAUGCCACCUUCAGUGCCGUAGGAGAGGCCACCGUGUGUGUGGAGGAAUGGGAGUCAGGAGAAAGUUUCACGUGCACGGUGACCCACACAGACCUGCCCUUCCCACUGAAGCACACCAUCUUCAGGCCCAAGGAAUCCAAGAAGAACAUGCCCUCUGUGUACGUGCAACCGCCCACCAGGGAACAGCUGAGCCUUCGGGAGUCAGCCUCGGUCACCUGCCUGGUGAAGACCUUUUCACCCCCAGACGUGUUUGUGCAGUGGAUGCAGAGAGGACAGCCUAUGCCCCCCGACACGUACGUGACCAGCUCCCCGCUGCCUGAGCCCCAGCACCCCGGCCUAUACUUCGUCCAUAGCAUCCUGACCGUGAGCGAGGAGGACUGGAGUGCCGGGGACACCUUCACCUGCGUCGUGGCCCAUGAGGCCCUGCCCCACUUGGUGACCGAGAGGACCGUGGACAAGUCCACCGAGGGGGAGGUGAGCGCUGAGGAAGAGGGUUUCGAGAACGUGAACACCAUGGCCUCCACAUUCAUCGUCCUGUUCCUGCUAAGUCUCUUCUACAGCACCACAGUCACCCUGUUCAAGGUGAAAUGACCCACCGGACAGGAACAUGGACACCAAGGAGCCAGAACCAAGGGGCCCCCGCCAGCCCUCAAAUCUGCCUGUGCUACCCCCUAGCUUCCAGCACUAAGGAGCAGCUUCUCUGGACAUGGCCCUGUGUGGAGGGAGUGCGGGGCCCAGGUGUCGCUUUGCAGUGGGUGCGCUUGUCACCUUGAAAUAAAUGUGCACAUUUUA